GCAGACCAACUUGCUUCGGAUGUAUACCUCAUUUCUUUGACCAAUUCAACAAUGAAGUCACAGAAAAAUGCGAAUGUCGUAACGGUGAACUACCUGUGCAAUGCUCCGACAAUCCUUGUCGACAGAAAAAAUGCCGUAGGCAUCCCAAAGCAGUUUGUCGUACAAAUACAUGUGGAAAAUGUGAGGCUAUUUUCUACGAUCGUUUUGGAAACGAAGUCAAUUGUAAACCAGUAUGCAAGCAAGAAAAAUAUCCAGGACCGUGCAAAGCC